rnacentral:rRNA from 1 species
UCGGGGUACACGAGUGGCGAACGGGUGAGUAACACGUGGGUAAUCUGCCCUGCACAUCGGGAUAAGCCUGGGAAACUGGGUCUAAUACCGAAUAGGACCACGGGAUGCAUGCCCUGUGGUGGAAAGCUUUUGCGGUGUGGGAUGGGCCCGCGGCCUAUCAGCUUGUUGGUGGGGUGAUGGCCCACCAAGGCGACGACGGGUAGCCGGCCUGAGAGGGUGUCCGGCCACACUGGGACUGAGAUACGGCCCAGACUCCUACGGGAGGCAGCAGUGGGGAAUAUUGCACAAUGGGCGAAAGCCUGAUGCAGCGACGCCGCGUGGGGGAUGACGGCCUUCGGGUUGUAAACCUCUUUCACCAUCGACGAAGGUCCGGGUUUUCUCGGAUUGACGGUAGGUGGAGAAGAAGCACCGGCCAACUACGUGCCAGCAGCCGCGGUAAUACGUAGGGUGCGAGCGUUGUCCGGAAUUACUGGGCGUAAAGAGCUCGUAGGUGGUUUGUCGCGUUGUUCGUGAAAUCUCACGGCUUAACUGUGAGCGUGCGGGCGAUACGGGCAGACUUGAGUACUGCAGGGGAGACUGGAAUUCCUGGUGUAGCGGUGGAAUGCGCAGAUAUCAGGAGGAACACCGGUGGCGAAGGCGGGUCUCUGGGCAGUAACUGACGCUGAGGAGCGAAAGCGUGGGGAGCGAACAGGAUUAGAUACCCUGGUAGUCCACGCCGUAAACGGUGGGUACUAGGUGUGGGUUUCCUUCCUUGGGAUCCGUGCCGUAGCUAACGCAUUAAGUACCCCGCCUGGGGAGUACGGCCGCAAGGCUAAAACUCAAAGAAAUUGACGGGGGCCCGCACAAGCGGCGGAGCAUGUGGAUUAAUUCGAUGCAACGCGAAGAACCUUACCUGGGUUUGACAUGCACAGGACGCCGGCAGAGAUGUCGGUUCCCUUGUGGCCUGUGUGCAGGUGGUGCAUGGCUGUCGUCAGCUCGUGUCGUGAGAUGUUGGGUUAAGUCCCGCAACGAGCGCAACCCUUGUCUCAUGUUGCCAGCGGGUAAUGCCGGGGACUCGUGAGAGACUGCCGGGGUCAACUCGGAGGAAGGUGGGGAUGACGUCAAGUCAUCAUGCCCCUUAUGUCCAGGGCUUCACACAUGCUACAAUGGCCGGUACAAAGGGCUGCGAUGCCGCGAGGUUAAGCGAAUCCUUUUAAAGCCGGUCUCAGUUCGGAUCGGGGUCUGCAACUCGACCCCGUGAAGUCGGAGUCGCUAGUAAUCGCAGAUCAGCAACGCUGCGGUGAAUACGUUCCCGGGCCUUGUACACACCGCCCGUCACGUCAUGAAAGUCGGUAACACCCGAAGCC